rnacentral:rRNA from 1 species
AUGACCACCGCCACGAUUUCGAAGACAAGGAGUGGCAAGCCAGAGUUAAGCGAGGAGCUCUAUCAGGCCGCAAUCUGCAUGGAGGAGAGGAUCCGCGCGCUGCAAUCCGCCGGUUGGAUCGGCAAUGAAGGGGAAUCGAUGGAGAUUGGCGACGGCUGCGAGAUGGAAACGGGAGGGAAGUCAUCAACGGGGUGGAGUAGCGCCGCGUCCCUAGAGCUCGAGGAGCUGCUCCACCGUGCCGCAAUCCUCACCCAGACGAGGGUAGGCGACGGGAACGCAGAAAACGAGGAGCUGCUCGAUCUGGCCGCAACGGAGAGGAUCGUCGGCCAGGCAGGCAACCCACUCUCCUGGGAAUUAAUAAGUGCGAUCAUGCCGGAGUUUGAAGCAAAGGUCGGCGACAUUGCUUCGGUACUUCAGGUAGAAGAGACCCGGAAGGAGGCGGUGGCCGUGCUGAGCUUCGGCUUCAGGCUGCGCUUGUUCUCCGAGCAGAUCGAUGAGCUGCGGCACGAGAUGUGCAACUUUCUGAGAUCGUUCUCGUCAGAAAACAAAAAUAUAAGGAGCACCAUGAUGAAGUUUAUCUCCGAGCCGUACUUAUCCCGUAUCAGCAAAUUGCAGUUGAUCUCUGACAGUAUCAGUAUGCUCCAGCGAAUGGACUCAGACUUCGACUCCAAAGUGAAAUCAACGAUCAUCAAGCUGAAAUCAGAAUCCUUCUUGUCAGCCAUGGAGGACGAGCUCCACAGGGCAGGCCAAGAAGAUUCCGUGGAGAUGGAGGAGAAGAGAUUCGCUGCCUACCAUCUCUACUGGGAGCGUAUAUGGGGCAAGGAUGGUCACAGCUUCGAAAAACAGACGAUAUUGAGCCCCAUGCAAUUUACACAUUGCACAACACGCCGCUUCCCAAUUGAAGCUGUCGCCAGGAACACCUUGUAG